rnacentral:tRNA from 1 species
AGCAGUGUGGCUCAGAGGCAAGAGCCUGAGCUUGGGAGUCAGAGGACAUGGGUUAUAAUCCCGGUUCCGCUG